AAGCCAUGAUGAGGACAUUUUCUUAAAAGAUCCUUAAAUCUUUCAUGUACCUCAAAGAGUGUCUCAGAAUCUCCCUACCUGAAGGCCGAAAUUUCUUGUCUCAGUCU